rnacentral:rRNA from 1 species
AGAACGAACGCUGGCGGCAGGCUUAACACAUGCAAGUCGAACGCCCCGCAAGGGGAGUGGCAGACGGGUGAGUAACGCGUGGGAAUCUACCUGGUUCUACGGAAUAACUGAGGGAAACUUCAGCUAAUACCGUAUACGCCCUAAGGGGGAAAGAUUUAUCGGUGCCAGAUGAGCCCGCGUUGGAUUAGCUAGUUGGUGGGGUAAUGGCCUACCAAGGCGACGAUCCAUAGCUGGUCUGAGAGGAUGAUCAGCCACACUGGGACUGAGACACGGCCCAGACUCCUACGGGAGGCAGCAGUGGGGAAUAUUGGACAAUGGGCGAAAGCCUGAUCCAGCCAUGCCGCGUGAGUGAUGAAGGCCUUAGGGUUGUAAAGCUCUUUCAGUGGGGAAGAUAAUGACGGUACCCACAGAAGAGCCCCGGCUAACUUCGCGCCAGCAGCCGC